rnacentral:rRNA from 1 species
GAUGAACGCUAACGGUGUGCUUAAUACAUGCAAGUCGAACGGACAAUGUGAAAGUGGCAACACUUUUGCAAAGUCAGUGGCGAACGGGUGAGUAACACGUAGGUAAUCUACCUUAAAGAUCGGGAUAACCUUCCGAAAGGAAGGCUAAUACCGGAUGUUUUAUAUUGAUCUUAUGGUUAAUAUAAAAAAGGUAGCCGCAAGGCCUCCGCUUUAAGAUGAGCCUGCGUCCUAUUAGCUUGUUGGUAAGGUAAUGGCUUACCAAGGCAAUGAUGGGUAGCCGGCCUGAGAGGGUGACCGGCCACACUGGGACUGAGAUACGGCCCAGACUCCUACGGGAGCAGCAGUAGGAAUCUUGCGCAAUGGGCGAAAGCCUGACGCAGCGACACCGUGUGAAGGAUGAAGGUCUUCGGAUUGUAAACUUCUGUCAAUUGGAGACGAAGGUAACAGGGUUAAUAGCCUCUGUUACUGACGGUAUUCAAUAAGGAAGUCUCGGCUAACUCCGUGCCAGCAGCCC